UGGGGGAUAACGUAGGGAAACUUACGCUAAUACCGCAUACGACCUUCGGGUGAAAGCAGGGGACCUUCGGGCCUUGCGCGGAUAGAUGAGCCGAUGUCGGAUUAGCUAGUUGGCGGGGUAAAGGCCCACCAAGGCGACGAUCCGUAGCUGGUCUGAGAGGAUGAUCAGCCACACUGGAACUGAGACACGGUCCAGACUCCUACGGGAGGCAGCAGUGGGGAAUAUUGGACAAUGGGCGCAAGCCUGAUCCAGCCAUACCGCGUGGGUGAAGAAGGCCUUCGGGUUGUAAAGCCCUUUUGUUGGGAAAGAAAAGCAAUCGAUUAAUACUCGGUUGUUCUGACGGUACCCAAAGAAUAAGCACCGGCUAACUUCGUGCCAGCAGCCGCGGUAAUACGAAGGGUGCAAGCGUUACUCGGAAUUACUGGGCGUAAAGCGUGCGUAGGUGGUUGUUUAAGUCUGUUGUGAAAGCCCUGGGCUCAACCUGGGAAUUGCAGUGGAUACUGGGCAACUAGAGUGUGGUAGAGGGUAGUGGAAUUCCCGGUGUAGCAGUGAAAUGCGUA
rnacentral:rRNA from 1 species